rnacentral:rRNA from 1 species
GACGAACGCUGGCGGCGUGCUUAACACAUGCAAGUCGAACGGAAAGGCCCUGCUUUUGUGGGGUGCUCGAGUGGCGAACGGGUGAGUAACACGUGAGUAACCUGCCCUUGACUUUGGGAUAACUUCAGGAAACUGGGGCUAAUACCGGAUAGGAGCUCCUGCUGCAUGGUGGGGGUUGGAAAAUUUCGGCGGUUGGGGAUGGACUCGCGGCUUAUCAGCUUGUUGGUGGGGUAGUGGCUUACCAAGGCUUUGACGGGUAGCCAGCCUGAGAGGGUGACCGGCCACAUUGGGACUGAGAUACGGCCCAGACUCCUACGGGAGGCAGCAGUGGGGAAUAUUGCACAAUGGGCGGAAGCCUGAUGCAGCAACGCCGCGUGCGGGAUGACGGCCUUCGGGUUGUAAACCGCUUUCGCCUGUGACGAAGCGUGAGUGACGGUAAUGGGUAAAGAAGCACCGGCUAACUACGUG